GGCUCGGUAGCUUAGUUGGUAAAGCGCUCGUCUAGCAUACAAGAGUCCUGGGUUCAAAUCCCAGCCGUGCAC
rnacentral:tRNA from 1 species